rnacentral:rRNA from 1 species
AGAGUUUGAUCCUGGCUCAGGACGAACGCUGGCGGCGUGCUUAACACAUGCAAGUCGAACGGAAAGGCCCUUCGGGGUACUCGAGUGGCGAACGGGUGAGUAACACGUGGGUGAUCUGCCCUGCACUUUGGGAUAAGCCUGGGAAACUGGGUCUAAUACCGAAUAUGACCAUGCACUUCCUGGUGUGUGGUGGAAAGCUUUUGCGGUGUGGGAUGGGCCCGCGGCCUAUCAGCUUGUUGGUGGGGUAAUGGCCUACCAAGGCGACGACGGGUAGCCGGCCUGAGAGGGUGACCGGCCACACUGGGACUGAGAUACGGCCCAGACUCCUACGGGAGGCAGCAGUGGGGAAUAUUGCACAAUGGGCGCAAGCCUGAUGCAGCGACGCCGCGUGAGGGAUGAUGGCCUUCGGGUUGUAAACCUCUUUCAGCACAGACGAAGCGCAAGUGACAGUAUGUGCAGAAGAAGGACCGGCCAACUACGUGCCAGCAGCCGCGGUAAUACGUAGGGUCCGGGCGUUGUCCGGAAUUACUGGGUGUAAAGAGCUCGUAGGUGGUUUGUCGCGUUGUUCGUGAAAACUCACAGCUUAACUGUGGGCGUGCGGGCGAUACGGGCAGACUUGAGUACUGCAGGGGAGACUGGAAUUCCUGGUGUAGCGGUGGAAUGCGCAGAUAUCAGGAGGAACACCGGUGGCGAAGGCGGGUCUCUGGGCAGUAACUGACGCUGAGGAGCGAAAGCGUGGGGAGCGAACAGGAUUAGAUACCCUGGUAGUCC